rnacentral:rRNA from 1 species
AGCGAACGUUAGCGGCAGGCCUAAUACAUGCAAGUCGAACGGUAACGGGCCUUCGGGUGCCGACGAGUGGCGAACGGGUGAGUAAUGCAUCGGAACGUACCUUUCAGUGGGGGAUAACGUAGCGAAAGUUACGCUAAUACCGCAUAUUCUGUGAGCAGGAAAGCAGGGGAUCGCAAGACCUUGCGCUCUUUGAGCGGCCGAUGUCAGAUUAGCUAGUUGGUGGGGUAACGGCUUACCAAGGCGACGAUCUGUAGCGGGUCUGAGAGGAUGAUCCGCCACACUGGAACUGAGACACGGUCCAGACUCCUACGGGAGGCAGCAGUGGGGAAUUUUGGACAAUGGGCGCAAGCCUGAUCCAGCCAUGCCGCGUGAGUGAAGAAGGCC